rnacentral:rRNA from 1 species
AAAGACGGUCUUGCUGUCACUUAUAGAUGGAUCCGCGCUGCAUUAGCUAGUUGGUAAGGUAACGGCUUACCAAGGCAACGAUGCAUAGCCGACCUGAGAGGGUGAUCGGCCACACUGGAACUGAGACACGGUCCAGACUCCUACGGGAGGCAGCAGUAGGGAAUCUUCCGCAAUGGGCGAAAGCCUGACGGAGCAACGCCGCGUGAGUGAUGAAGGUCUUCGGAUCGUAAAACUCUGUUAUUAGGGAAGAACAUAUGUGUAAGUAACUGUGCACAUCUUGACGGUACCUAAUCAGAAAGCCACGGCUAACUACGUGCCAGCAGCCGCGGUAAUACGUAGGUGGCAAGCGUUAUCCGGAAUUAUUGGGCGUAAAGCGCGCGUAGGCGGUUUUUUAAGUCUGAUGUGAAAGCCCACGGCUCAACCGUGGAGGGUCAUUGGAAACUGGAAAACUUGAGUGCAGAAGAGGAAAGUGGAAUUCCAUGUGUAGCGGUGAAAUGCGCAGAGAUAUGGAGGAAC